rnacentral:snRNA from 1 species
GGCUGUGAGGAUGAUCUGGCUGUGAUAUAUGUCACCCCAUUGAUCACCAGGGUUGAUUCAGCUGAUCUAGCUGGCUAGGUGGGUGUCCCCAUUGUCCCUCACCACUCUGUGUGUGACCCUCUGGAAGCUGCAUGCUCAGUGGAACAGGACAACCACCCUCCAUAGAGGAGGACCCUUUCCUCAGUCAAGAGUGUAUGAGUCAAGGGUAUAACAGUACUCCCCUGCUAGAACUUCCAAAGAAGCUCCCAAAAAAGCAGCUUCCAGGUUGGUGGGUACUCAGGUAAUCAGGUGCUAAAUCAGUUAAGAUCCCUGAACUCUUCAGUUGCAGCCUU